rnacentral:rRNA from 1 species
AUUGAACGCUGGCGGCAUGCUUUACACAUGCAAGUCGAACGGUAACAGCACUUCGGUGGCUGACGAGUGGCGAACGGGUGAGUAAUACAUCGGAACGUGCCUAGUAGUGGGGGAUAACUACUCGAAAGAGUAGCUAAUACCGCAUGAGAUCUAAGGAUGAAAGCAGGGGACCUUCGGGCCUUGCGCUACUAGAGCGGCUGAUGGCAGAUUAGGUAGUUGGUGGGAUAAAAGCUUACCAAGCCGACGAUCUGUAGCUGGUCUGAGAGGACGACCAGCCACACUGGGACUGAGACACGGCCAAGCCUCCUACGGGAGGCAGCAGGGGGGAUUUUGGGAAAAAGGGCGCAAGCCUGAUCCAGCAAUGCCGCGUGCAGGAUGAAGGCUUUCGGGUUGUAAACGGUUUUUGUACGGAACGAAAAGCCCUUUUCUAAUACAGGAGGGUCAUGACGGUACCGAAAGAAUAAGCACCGGCUAACUACGUG